rnacentral:rRNA from 1 species
CAGUCGAGCGAGAAAGGCCUUCGGGCUGAGUACAGCGGCGGACGGGUGAGUAACGCGUAGGAAUCUACCUGGUAGUGGGGGACAACAUGGGGAAACUCAUGCUAAUACCGCAUACGCCCUAUGGGGGAAAGCGGGGGACCUUCGGGCCUCGCGCUAUCAGAUGAGCCUGCGUAGGAUUAGCUUGUUGGUGAGGUAAAGGCUCACCAAGGCGACGAUCCUUAGCUGGUCUGAGAGGAUGAUCAGCCACACUGGAACUGAGACACGGUCCAGACUCCUACGGGAGGCAGCAGUGGGGAAUAUUGCGCAAUGGGCGAAAGCCUGACGCAGCCAUGCCGCGUGUGUGAAGAAGGCCUUCGGGUUGUAAAGCACUUUCAAUUGGGAAGAAAGGUUGCGUGUUAAUAGCACGUAGCUGUGACGUUACCUUUAGAAGAAGCACCGGCUAACUCCGUGCCAGCAGCCGCGGUAAUACGGAGGGUGCGAGCGUUAAUCGGAAUUACUGGGCGUAAAGCGCGCGUAGGCGGUUUGUUAAGUCGGAUGUGAAAGCCCCGGGCUCAACCUGGGAAUUGCAUUCGAUACUGGCCGACUAGAGUACGAGAGAGGGAGGUAGAAUUCCACGUGUAGCGGUGAAAUGCGUAGAUAUGUGGAGGAAUACCGGUGGCGAAGGCGGCCUCCUGGCUCGAUACUGACGCUGAGGUGCGAAAGCGUGGGUAGCAAACAGGAUUAGAUACCCUGGUAGUCCACGCCGUAAACGAUGUCUACUAGCCGUUGGGAGACUUGAUUUCUUAGUGGCGCAGCUAACGCACUAAGUAGACCGCCUGGGGAGUACGGCCGCAAGGUUAAAACUCAAAUGAAUUGACGGGGGCCCGCACAAGCGGUGGAGC